CUGAACUGAUGUUCAGCAUUUUACAGACAAUUCUAUAAUGCUCCCAGACAGGUGACUCAGGAGAGGCAGAAGCAGCUGGCCCUGGGCCCACCCAUUUCUUUAUUCUUUUCUGCUGGGCCUCAUUCCUGCUGUUUGUUAUUUGCAGCAGGUGACUGUGCUCUCUCUCCUGGCUGCCCUCUGACCUUCACCUCCAUGUUUCCUGACAAACCCCAGGGCUGUUGCAGCAAAUUACCUUCUUAGUUUUACAGACACUGUCUGCAUGCAUGCUCCUUCCCAUGUCUGAAUUUAGUCUAAAGUUGCAG
rnacentral:lncRNA from 1 species